GAAGAUGUUAAACAAACAGACACCAAUACUGAUAAAACUGCACAAAAUACACUUUACCCUUGGAGAAAACCGAAGGAGGUUCCAAUCCUGGUCACACCGGAUCCAGAGUCAAAACCGAAUGAGGUGCCAUUUUCAUGGAAUGUAAUUCCAGAAAUACCUCAGGCAGAACAAACACCAGAAUUGGAAGACAAUUACACACCAACAUUACGUGAAACAGAUACCUCUCCUGUACCUUGGAGAAGAUCUCGUUCUCCGCAGGCUGAUGUAAACCCCAAGGAAGAGAGCAAACCGUCGUUAGCAAUACCACAAGUAGCUAUUAGCGGCACUCCUCAAAAGACUGAU